rnacentral:rRNA from 1 species
GUUAUAUGGUCAAGCGAAUAAGCGCACACGGUGGAUGCCUUGGCGGUCAGAGGCGAUGAAGGACGUGGCAGCCUGCGAAAAGUAUCGGGGAGCUGGCAACAAGCUUUGAUCCGGUAAUGUCCGAAUGGGGAAACCCACCCGCUUGCGGGUAUCCUGCAGUGAAUACAUAGCUGCUGGAAGCGAACCUGGUGAACUGAAAUAUCUAAGUAACCAGAGGAAAAGAAAUCAACCGAGAUUCCGUAAGUAGCGACGAGCGAACGCGGACUAGCCCUUAAGCUGAUUUGGUUCUAGGAAAACGCUCUGGAAAGAGCGGCCAUAGAAGGUGAUAGCCCUGUAUCUGAAAGGGCCAUUUCAGUGAAGACGAGUAGGGCGGGGCACGUGAAACCCUGUCUGAACAUGGGGGGACCAUCCUCCAAGGCUAAAUACUACUGACCGACCGAUAGUGAACCAGUACCGUGAGGGAAAGGCGAAAAGAACCCCGGAGAGGGGAGUGAAAUAGAACCUGAAACCGUGUGCGUACAAGCAGUAGGAGCUCCGCAAGGAGUGACUGCGUACCUUUUGUAUAAUGGGUCAGCGACUUACUGUUCGUGGCAAGCUUAACCGUAUAGGGGAGGCGAAGGGAAACCGAGUCUGAUAAGGGCGCAUAGUCGCGGGCAGUAGACCCGAAACCGGGUGAUCUAGUCAUGCCCAGGGUGAAGGUGCGGUAACACGCACUGGAGGCCCGAACCCACUCCCGUUGCAAAGGUAGGGGAUGAGGUGUGAUUAGGAGUGAAAAGCUAAUCGAACCCGGAGAUAGCUGGUUCUCCUCGAAAGCUAUUUAGGUAGCGCCUCAUAUGUAUCCUCUCGGGGGUAGAGCACUGUUAUGGCUAGGGGGUCAUCGCGACUUACCAAACCAUUGCAAACUCCGAAUACCGAGACGGACUGUAUGGGAGACACACGGCGGGUGCUAACGUCCGUCGUGAAAAGGGAAACAACCCAGACCCACAGCUAAGGUCCCAAAUUUUGUGCUAAGUGGAAAACCAUGUGGAAAGGCACAGACAGCCAGGAGGUUGGCUUAGAAGCAGCCACCCUUUAAAGAAAGCGUAAUAGCUCACUGGUCGAGUCGGUCUGCGGGGAAGAUUUAACGGGGCUAAGCACAGAACCGAAGCUUGGGGUGCAUAACUUUGUUAUGCGCGGUAGAGGAGCGUUCCGUAAGCCGUUGAAGGUGGAUUGAGAAGUCUGCUGGAGGUAUCGGAAGUGCGAAUGCUGACAUGAGUAACGAUAAUGCGGGUGAAAAACCCGCACGCCGAAAGCCCAAGGUUUCCUUGCGCAACGUUAAUCGGCGCAGGGUGAGUCGGCCCCUAAGGCGAGGACGAAAGUCGUAGUCGAUGGGAAGCAGGUUAAUAUUCCUGCACCUCGCGUAAGUGCGAUGGAGGGACGGAGAAGGUUAGGUGUACCAGGCGUUGGUUGUCCUGGGGAAAGGCGGUAGGUUUGGAUCUUUGGCAAAUCCGGGAUCCUUUAAGACCGAGCACCGAGACGAGCCUUUAUGGCGAAGUCACUGAUACCACGCUUCCAGGAAAAGCUCCUAAGCUUCAGCUUACGCAGACCGUACCGUAAACCGACACAGGUGGGUAGGAUGAGAAUUCUCAGGCGCUUGAGAGAACUCGGGUGAAGGAACUAGGCAACAUGGCACCGUAACUUCGGGAGAAGGUGCACCCUUUUUGGUGGCUCGUGCGAGCUAUGGCUGAAGAGGGUCGCAGUAACCAGGCCGCUGCGACUGUUUAUCAAAAACACAGCACUCUGCAAACACGAAAGUGGACGUAUAGGGUGUGACGCCUGCCCGGUGCUGGAAGGUUAAUUGAUGGGGUCAGCCGCAAGGCGAAGCUCUUGAUCGAAGCCCCAGUAAACGGCGGCCGUAACUAUAACGGUCCUAAGGUAGCGAAAUUCCUUGUCGGGUAAGUUCCGACCUGCACGAAUGGCGUAACGACAGCGGCGCUGUCUCCACCCGAGACUCAGUGAAAUUGAAAUCGCUGUGAAGAUGCAGCGUUCCCGUGGCAAGACGGAAAGACCCCGUGAACCUUUACUAUAGCUUUACACUGAACGUUGAGUUCGUCUGUGUAGGAUAGGUGGGAGGCUAUGAAACCAUGGCGCUAGCUGUGGUGGAGCCAUCCUUGAAAUACCACCCUGUCGUGCUUGACGUUCUAACCUGGGCCCAUUAUCUGGGUCGGGGACCGUGUAUGGUGGGUAGUUUGACUGGGGCGGUCUCCUCCUAAAGAGUAACGGAGGAGCUCGAAGGUACGCUCAGCGCGGUCGGACAUCGCGCACUGUGUGCAAAGGCAUAAGCGUGCUUGACUGCAAGAUCGACGGAUCAAGCAGGUAGGAAACUAGGACUUAGUGAUCCGGUGGUUCUGUAUGGAAGGGCCAUCGCUCAACGGAUAAAAGGUACUCCGGGGAUAACAGGCUGAUACCGCCCAAGAGUUCAUAUCGACGGCGGUGUUUGGCACCUCGAUGUCGGCUCAUCACAUCCUGGGGCUGUAGUCGGUCCCAAGGGUAUGGCUGUUCGCCAUUUAAAGUGGUACGCGAGCUGGGUUCAGAACGUCGUGAGACAGUUCGGUCCCUAUCUGCCAUGGGCGUUGGAGAUUUGAGAGGGGCUGCUCCUAGUACGAGAGGACCGGAGUGGACGAACCUCUGGUGUUCCGGUUGUCACGCCAGUGGCAUUGCCGGGUAGCUAUGUUCGGAAGCGAUAACCGCUGAAAGCAUCUAAGCGGGAAGCGCGCCUCAAGAUGAGAUCUCCCGGGGCACAAGCCCCCUGAAGGAACCAUGUAGACUACGUGGUUGAUAGGUCAGGUGUGUAAGUACAGCAAUGUAUUGAGCUAACUGAUACUAAUGAUCCGUGCGGCUUGACCAUAUAACCU